rnacentral:lncRNA from 1 species
CCAUUUACAAAUUUACUGAGACCAUUUACAUUUCAAACAAAAAUGGAUAACCAAAUAUUUUGACCAAUUACAGCAGUGGCAGACUAGCAGCAAACGAGGAUGUUGUGUUCCUUAUAUAUGCCACUCCUCUCCCCGCAAGCUACAUGGUUGCAACAAUUGUAAUUCCAGGGAGAUGGUAAUAAGAAAAACAUUGCCUUAGAUUCUCUCAUCCCUACUAUAAAUGUAAAAUCUUGUAUAAUACAUGUACAUAAUCAAUUCCACCACACUCAGCGCAGCAAGUAUCCAAUAAAAAUAAUCAAGAUGAGCCCGGUUCAAAUUAUUGUCGAACCAGCUAUAACAGCCAAUGCCAGCAGUCGCUUUCUCAAUGACAGAGAUGAGAAAGCUGCUAAGAAAUUUUCCUACACCAAAGAUACUGAGGUAUAGUGAAAGACCAACACUCUUUAAAUCACUAGGGACCUGAUCAUAGAAAAGUUCUUGCAGACCAACCAUGGUAAAGACAUCAGCAACUCCGAACAAGACAUAUGAAGGAACUAACCACCAAACACUCAUUGGAACAGUCACAUUUGGUUCAUUGACUAGACCAGAUUCUUGAGCGAUUUCGAGCCUUUUCAUCUCAACUAGAGCAGCAAAUGCUAUCGAAACAGCAGAUAAAAACAUCCCAGUUCCAAUUCUCUGAAGCAUUGAAAUGCCAGAUGGUUUCCUUGUUAAAGCUCUUGCAACAGGAACAAAGAGACGGUCAUAGAUAGCAAUACAGAGGAUCAUGGAAAUGCUGCUAAAGCUUUCAAGUGAAGCUGCUGGUAUCUCGAAACCUGGUGAAAUUGAUCUAUCCAUGGUUGCUGCUUGCUUGACAAAGAAAGUUGAGGACUGUGGAAACACAAUAGCAUAUCCCAAGCAUGUAGUCCAUAUUGGAAUAAGCCUGAGUACUGCCUUGGCUUCUUCAACAUCACGAAAGGUACAAACCUUCUGAUCUUCUUUUGAGCCAUCUGUUGUAAGCAGCGCAUUGUUUAGGAACCUGGAAUCAAUUUUUAUCUUAGAGAAGCUUGAUAUGGUAAAGCAAAAGGUCUUUUGAGUAAAACUUCACUGAUUCAAGACCACAGAGAGCAGAAGUAAUCUCCCACUUGAUAAAAUAUCAUAGAGCAUCACAACUUAAUCUAUAUGGUGAUGUGAAAUCACUCCCUUCUGUACCGUAAUCAGUGUUACAAUCUCCAGUGGUUGAUGCAAAUCAACAAGCACACUAAGACAAUACAGCAUCUUAGACCCAUAUCAACAAAUAAUUAAGUGUAUCUCCUAACAAAAUCUAAAUUUGAUAUCAUCAAACAAUUGCCAAGGAUAACAAACAGCCGUUCACUGAUGCUAAUAGCACAUAAAUCAGAGACAUUUCAGAGGUGAUUAACUGUUUUGUGGAAAGUGUUAAAAGUGCAAGGCGACUUAAGCACCAGGGCUAUUAGAGGCUAGGCUGCAGGAUCUCCACCUACUACAAUGCGCUUUGGAUCCCCAAAAUGGAUCACGGUGAUAUACUAGUUUUCCAUACGAAGGGUUAAAUAGAAUAUCAGAGCUCAGAUUGCUGUCACAAUACGAUAUCACGGACUUUGCAUUUGAUCCUAACUGGUUAAAGCUCACAAAAUAAAGUAUUUUCAAUCAAUGUCUUACUUAAAAAUUCUCAUCUAAUGAAAAUCUUCAGGUCAACUAGAUGCAAUUUGUGUUUAAUUUUUAACCUCAAAGACACGAUAAAUUCUCUUACUUGAACUGCUCAUAACUUUGGUGAGGUACAGUUCCACGACCUUCUUCCUCAGAAGCUAGUGAGGAAGGAGUAAAUCGCCAAUUCCUGAAAGCUGCCACAAAGACCCGAGCAAUUCUCAAAAGUGCGUUGUUCCCUUCCCUUUUAACACUGUACCGAUAUUUCUUUGAUCCCAGUAAGAAGAUGAUCAGUGCACAGAUCAUCAUAAUGCAUGGGAUUCCAAAUCCAAGACUCCAACUAAGAUUGUCUUGAAUGUAUGUUAAAACCAGUAGUGAUACUAAGAUGCCUGAACUCACAAAAAAAUACCACCAAUUGAAGAAUGAGCUUUUGGCUUUGUACUCUUUGGUGUCUUGUCUAUCAAAUUGAUCUGCUCCAAAAGCCGGGACACAAGGCUUGUAUCCACCUUGGCCAAGUGCUACUAGAUAGAGAGCAAUAAAGAAUAAAAUCACUUGUAGUGUAUUAGAAGAACAGGACGUACUGUUACUUUGACAGUCAGAUGUAGGAAGCAUAGCUGAUAGAGUCAACAAGCCAAGUCCCUACAAUUAAAUUCAAAAUAUGACAGAAACUUUAAACCCAAAGCUGAACAGCAUAAGUUUAUUAAUUUCCAGGAAUCAUGAACAAAUUUUUUACCCACUCCUCAAGAACAGAAAAGAAAGGAUAAGUAUGAAGUAUCUGGUGUCUUAAAGACAUUACACAAUCAUGCUGACUAUUUAAUAGGGUAGGUUUAAAAUCCUUAAUUUAUGUCCAGCCAAUCCAAAUAGAGAUCAAGAAAACAAAUCUAAUAGGAAGAUGUUAUCAACCUGUGACCUCAGGUUUGGUUUCAAUUAGUGCAAAAUCGUGUGAAGUAGACAAUGAAAGAAACUGCAACCAAUAGGAAGUAUAGUAGGCAAUUACUGAACUUUGGCCACAACUAUCGCAAUUCCUCCCGAAGAGACUAUAGUUCAGUUGAUUCUUGCAAAGAUUAAGCAUUGAGAACUGCUUUCAAUUUCCAAAUACCUUGUACUUCAAAUAAACCCAAGAUAGUUAAAAGGGCCAGGUGAUCAAGAAAUUUGCAGGAAGGAGUGCUGUUUUGCCAAUGCACAACUUUGUUUCAGCUGUCAAUUCUUUACUACCUCUGUGUGUGUGUGUCAUCCAUAUUUACUAAAAUGAUGCGACUCGAAGCCAAUGUAGAUGGCAACUUUCAUUUCAAUUCUCGAGGACUAGAAUAUUUACUUGAGUUACUCAACAAUCAUAGAUGAUCAUUUUCCUUUUAGAAAACUCAGCUAAAUCUAAGAAAAAUAGCUGAGCAGAUACAUCAGCUAACUUAGGAUUGAUGAUACUCAAAAAAUAAAAUAAAAUAAUAAAUAAAAAUCAGAACUUUUUUAUUUGCUUUUAUGAGACUGCAGGCCUACUUUAUUUGUAUCCUAGCCAAGCUUUCGUAGAUUGAAACUAAGUGAUUUUUGUUGGCAUGUCAUCCAUAUUCAAAUUGGUGUAUUCACGAGAAGUUUUUUCGCCCACACCCUUUCUAGAUUGGAACCUACAAUGAUGACACAGAGAACAAACUUUCAUACUACCUAAGCCAACACCUCAAUUGGUCCUUAGGACCAAUUAUAAACACCUAGAAAUCAAACUCUCUAACCAGUAAAAUUAGUUUUUGAGAGAUGUUUUUUACCAAAAUGUAGAUAAGUGAGGCAAUAAUAAUAGUCCUGCAUUUUCCAAGAAAAGAAUCAGCAACAAAUGCACCGAACAAGGGCAGCAACGACGCUGUGCCUGACCAUACGUUCACAUUCUUAGCCGCAGUAAUGGUUGAUUGACCCAACGGCCCAGUUAAAUACGUUAUUAAGUUGGAAGAGAUCCCAUAAAAAGAAAACCUCUCUGCAACUUCCACACCUGCACUUGUACACCAAACAAGAUAGUUAAAACACAAAAUAAUGGCUUCGGCUGGAUUAAAUAUAGAAAAAGAAACAGCUGUGUUACCUAUAAUGAAAGAUGCAGACCUCCAUCCACCAGAGUUGUAUCUACAAACUGGGUUGCCCUUAUAAUCAACGCAGUCAUCAACAGUGUCGUUUAGGAGUGGAGUUCGGACCUCUUGUGUCUCUGAACUGGAGAUGUUAGAAAUGGACAUCGCAGUUUACUACAGCUAAUGAUUACUAGUUAAAAUUACCAGCAAUCAUAAUCUGGUUCCAAUUAUGCUAACAUAUGGAGGAUAACAUUUAUAAAAAAUUGACGUCUUGUUCAGCAAAAAAAUGCUUGGCUUUAUUUGUUAGUUGGAUUGUCAGCCUCUCUUAUUUAUAUAAUAUUAUUACAGGGAAUCAAUCCUUUGUGCUUGGAGUUCAUGAUUGCAGUUCCCCGCCUUACUACUCGGUCGUGUUGCGAGGUGCAAUAUAAAAUAAACGAGAAUACCUUUUUUUAUUUUAAUUGUAUUUAUCGCACCUUCGACUAUUUUAUAAAAUAUUAAUUUACUUUUAAAGGCUCACCUACAACAUAUACUAUUGAUAUCAUAGUACUCUACCUCCUAUAUUAAUUCUAUUUUUUAUAUAUUUCACCACACUAUUAAAUAUAAAAAUAAGUAAAGGAUUUACAAGGUCACGACAAGUUGACUGAGUUUUAAAAAAUUUUGAUUUAUCAGCCGAUUUAUGAUAUCUAUUUUUUAGAUUUUUUUAACUUAUUAUUAUUUAUAAUAUCUAUAUUAUUUAAUUUUGAUGAAUUGAAUUGAAUUAAAUAAUACAAAUAUUACAAAAUAACCAAUUUCUUUUAACAUCCCUACUUUGUUCUCACUAGAGAGGUUUAAAAAACCCAUGAAUUUUUAACUAUACAUGUAAAAUUAUGAUGUGAAUUAAUUCGCAACAUAAACAAACAUAAUUUGAAAAAUAAUAAUUUCAAACCGAGAAGUAUGGAAGUUGUCGACUUCAUCUGUAGAUGCGAUGCUCCAUCUGGAAAUUUUCGAUUUCAUGUAUAUUCUGAAGAUUUCUAGUUUAAUAAGAGCAAGUCAAAUUCAUUUUGCACUUUGAUUUCAUUAGAUACCUUUCAAUUUCCAGUUUUAAUUAUGUUCGUACUAUAUUUUAUGAUGAACAAGAAGCUGAUGAAUUUUGAUAAAACUUCAUUUUCAGGAGGGAAAAAAAAAAGUUUUUAGAGAAGAAGCUAAUAAUAAAAAGUAAAGAGAGAGACGAAUGGGAGAUUGAAAAAUAUGCAACUUUGCAAUUCUUAUUCAUUCAUAAAAAACUACAUAACAUUUAAAAAAAUAUGAUAUAAAUACUAAAACUUUAACUACAACAAGCGAUUGGAUUUAUGAUCUACUAAAUAAAAUACCCAACAAUAAAUAAAACUCAAUAAAUAAAGCCUAAUUAAUAAACUUCGACUAAAAGUUUAUAUAAAUUAAACUAAAACAUAAGCUAAAGCCAAAUCUUUUAAUUGUGUGGGCUAUCUUCCAUCGUCUAUGAUCAUACGUGUGUGUAAACAAUGUUUCGGGUUCUGUGUACCCACUACUUGACUUUCCUUACAUACAAAAACAAGAAAGUAUCAAUACAGUAAGGAAAAAGAAGCUAUGAUGUUACAGACGCCAAAAGAUCAAAAUCAAUAACAAAAGCGAGAAGAGAGGCAAUGGCAAUGGCUAAUGACCGCUAGAAUUUGAAAGAAUCAAAAUACACCGCAUGACCGUUGGAAGAUUUGGGAUUACACAACUACAUUAAACGAAUUGUUUCAUUUAUUCACCCACACGCAUCAUUUUAUUAUGUUUUUCCGGUUAGGAGAGUUAGUUAAGUUGUUUUCCACAUGUCCAUUGAGGCACAAAUCAUGUAAUGUUUGGUAUUUCCUUGGUUUAUAUGUAAUAGAAAUGCCAGAAAGAAAAUGCAUGAAGAAAGAUGAAUUAACUAGUUUUGUCAUCCUAUUUCUUCUCUCUUUUUCCUCUUUGUUCUAGUCUAAUCUAUAUUGUUCUAUUGUGUUCUUCUUCUCUUCUCAAUUUCUUGAUUUCUAGAUUAAAAUUUUAUAGCUUAAGCAACAACAUUAUUCUACUGGAUUUCUUCUUAGUUGGGGAUCAUCCCAUCAGACUUGCAAUAAGUGGUAUUAGAGUAGUUGAUCCACGACCUAAUACUAUGGCUCUUAAUACUAGAACACGAGAUCAAACACAAAAUUAUGAACAACUGAUGAAGAUGUUGAAGACUUACAAUCACAAGCUGGAAAAUACCAGGACUAACCAUGAAGCAAAGAUCAAUGAACUCGCAAAACUUAUUAGAGGAUUGGCUUAUCAACAAACAACUCUUCUUUAAAACCUACAAAUGCCCACAGAGAAGACUAGUGCAGCCAGAGAUAACACAGGUGGCUCAUAGUGGAACUUGAAUGGCAAGACCUCACUUAUUAAGACACACACACCUAGACUUGACUUUCCCAGUUUUAAUGAAGGGAAUGUUCAUAAGUGAUUGUAUAGGUGCAAUUAAUAUUUUGAUAUGGAAGAGAUUGGAGAAUCAGAGAGACUUAAGCUGGUCUCCUAUUAUCUAGAUAGUAUGGCCCUUUUCUAGUACCAAAACUACAUGAGAAGUUUAGGUGAUCAGGAAGUAACAUGUAAGGAGUAUGUGGAGGCAUUAUGUGCUAGAUUUGGUGGCCAAAGGGACCCUCUAGAAGAACUCAUGUGUAACAUCCUCAUUUUCAAAACCAACACAUCAAUCAUAAAAAAGGGAAAAACACGGUAAAAAUUUAUUUUUUUUUUUUUUUGUUGAACUCAUACAGUUUACUGAAAUUUCGAUAGAAAUUUCAGUAAAGUCUCUCCUAUCCUGGGAGGUCCCAAGUUAUCAACAAAUCAUUUGUACAUAUCCUGUAUUCAUUGCUCAUACACAUUCCAAUCAUUCCAAGUCUCAAACUAUAACACUCCAAACUUUUAAAGUAAAAUUCACACAAUCAUCAAGUUAAAAAUGAGAAAAAAAUCUUAGGAAGUUUUUUUUUUUUAAAAUAAGAGAUAACUAUUAAUUAACCAUUGUAAUUGCAUUCAUAGAUUAACAUAAUGUAAAUUCUAAAUUUCAAAUUACUACAUAAAGUUUUAACAAAAAAGUACUACAUAAUUUUAUACAUACAAAUUAAAAGUAUUGUUAAAUACAACCAAAAAGAAAAUUCUUUGAUUUUUCUAUUAACUUAAGUGACUAAACAUAGGGAACACCUAUGCAUAAACUAAGGGUUACGCUGCUGAGAUGAACUUAUAUAUUAAUUUGCAUCAACAUAACUAAAUUAAUUAUGAUGAUCUAGUACACUUUUCAUUACACUAACAAUUUGCUUUUAAUUCAUCUAUCAUCAAUUUCUAUAAUUUUCCACUUGUCAACGCAUCAAUCUUGUCCAAUAAUAACUGAUUCUAUUGGUCACCCAUUCCAGGACAGUGGACCAACCAUCAGUUCAUUCAAAAGGGCACCAGUUCCAAACUAGGACACUGAUUCAGCCAUCAGCCCAAUCUCAGGGCACCAAUUCCAAACCAGGACACUGGUCCAAUCAUCAGCCCAUUCACCGGGCGCUAGUCCCAAACCAAGAACUGGUUCAACCAUCAUUCAAACACUACAUAUAAAUGCUAAAAUUUGAACUACAUCUUAUUAGGAGCUAAGCUAAAGAAUUAAAAGAGACUUUAAAUUAGAGAUCUAAUUGUUAGACACCUACCUGAAAUCUUUGCUCUGCUAGUCGUCCUAUGCUCUCGUUUAUUUCCCACAAUCUCACAUGUACCAAUAGUUACACUAAUUUAAAUUUCGAGUCUUAACCACACAUACGUACUAUUUUCAUUUCCUUUAUAAUUCAAAAUUUUAUAAUAAAAAACAAUUCCAAACAGAAGUUACCAAUUUACAAGUUUUAGAUGGCUCAACAUAACAGAUUCCAAACAUUGUUUAGUAGUUUGAGUAUAACCGGAGCUAUAGAACUCGGUUUUAUAUGUGCCUUGUUUUUUGGAACGCUAAAACAUGGUUCUACAACUUUUAUGAAGAAGAAUAUACCUAAUUUUUCCAUCUACAUGCCUAAAUUCAUAAAUUUCAGAAACCCAAAAAUUUGUCCUGCUGAUUCCCGGUUUUGACCUAUCUUCGAUUUUUCUUCCAUAUAUAAUGUUUUGUCACUCCAAUUUAAGCAAGAUCAAUUUUAUUAGAAAGGCAACAUCUAUGUCUACAACUUUCGUGAAGGAAAAUAUCUCAAAUUUUAUCAUCUUAGGGUUCAAAUCUUAGUAGAGAAAUUGAGAGACAACCUGUCCAGUUUUGAUUUUUAUGUUCAACAAGUAUAAAUUUGUUUCCCAUGUAUUUUUUCAUUAUUUAACAGACUUCUUAAACCUAUACUAAGGUAUUCUAAAAUCUUAAUUAUUCAAGGAAAACACAAACAAAUUCAAUUGACUUAAUAAGAGAGUUUGUUACCUUCUAUUACAAAGAAAAUGAGUCAAAAGAUCAACCACUUUUGUUCUUACCAUCCCUUCCUUCUUCUAACCCUUCCCUUCCCAGGCUGUAGACACCUAGCUAUGGGGCUGCCAUGCCCUGGGCGCUAGGGCCAAACCCGUGUGCCUGGCUGUAGACCCAGGCGAGCAGGUCUAUAGCCAACACAUGGCAGCCCUAGCGCAUGACUUAAUAUUAUUGUUUGUAUUAAAAAUAUUGUUAUUUUUAUUAUAAUUAAUAUUGUUAAUAUUAAAAAUAUUUUUAUUUUUAUUAUAAUUAAUAUUGUCAAUAUUAAAAAUAUUAUUAUUUUUAUUAUAAUUAAUAUCAUAAAUAUUAUUAAAUUUUAAAAAAAAUAUUAUUAUAAAAAAACAUAGAUUUGAUUUGAAGGGCAAAAUCAAUUAUUAUUAUUAUUAUUAUUAUUAUUAUUAUUAUUAUUAACUUGGGUCUGACAUGCCCUUCUAGACUUAAGUUUCUUGGGGCUGGAAAGGUGCGUCUAAUCCAAGUUACUUGAGAGUGGCAUGAGCGCAAACCCAAGUUUCUUGGGUCUUACAGCCUCACUUGGCCCAAGACACUUGGACAAGUGUUCAAACCCAAAGCUAUUGGGUCCAGUGUUCGGAUCCAAGGCUCUUAGGUCCUAUGUCCUGACCCAAGUCUAAUGGGUCCGGAUUGCAGCCAGACUUAAGGCUCUUGAAUCUGUCGUUUAUGAGGGGCCCAAAGCUCUUGGGUUUGGUGUUGCAGACAGACCCACUUAAACUUGGUUAAGUUUAAUAUUAUUAUUAAUAUUAAAAAUAUUAUUAAUAUAAUAAUUAAUAAUUUUGAAAAAAAAAUAAUAUUGAAAAACAACUAUAGAUUUGAUUUGAAGGGUAAACUUAAAAAUUAUUAUAUUAUUAUUAUUAUUAUUAUUAUAUUUGAAAAAAAUAUUAUUACUAUGGAAGAAAAAACAUAAUUUUUUUAAUAGAUUAAAAAUAUAUGAACUUGAGCCAGAUAAGUUAUAUAUUAUCAUUAAUAUUAUAAAUAUUACUAUUGGUUCUGACAUUGUAGUCAAAUCCAAGGCUCUUUGGUCUUUUUUUAUAGACAAACCCAACACUUUUAAAUUUUAGUUUUUUUAAUGUUUUUUAUGGAAAAAAGUUGGCUCGAGGCACCUAACUACUCUUCAAGCUAAACCAAAUCAGAAAGGGCUACUCAGCCCAAAAAAUCUUCAAAACCUCACUAUAUUUUGCUGUCCAAUUUGUUAGAAAUAUUUGAAGCAGUAAAGUAAAAAUGGAAACAUGGAAAGAUACUUUGAAUUUCAUUCAUAUUACAUCACUCUUCUAAAAAACAAAUCCCUAUAGACUUGGAUUUAAACUUACAAUACUCCGCACAUAUAUUUAUACUAAUCUAAAAUAAUUCAAGAGACUUAAAAAAUAAAUAUAUCUUUAAUAAUUAUAUGCAUAUAUUUAGAAGAUACCUCCUUUGAAUGAAAAUUUCAAAAUUAAUUUGUGUUGAGACUCCUCUUCAAAACCUCACUAUAAUUAAUUUGUUCAAAGCAACUACCAUUAUCUUCACCAGUGUGGAGAGGAGCAUUAACAAAAUCUUGGCAUGACUUGUGAAAAGAAAGCGACAAUCUUUUGGGAUGUCAAUAUUUUCUUGCAAGUUUCAGAGAAUAUCAGAAAAAUCAUUGAAAGAAAGCAAGUACGAUGAAAAUUCUAAAUCACAUGAUAGAAUUCUGGUCAUUGGUCAGAUAGGAAUUUGUACAAGAAGCAAGCCAAACGAAAAUCUAGCAUUAAAGAUAACAUGUAGCAAAUGCCAAGCUAUCUUGAUGUUAAACCUUUGAAUAGGUUAGGCUCGAAAGCAACAUAUUCCUUUGGCACAGACAAAAUCAAAGAAACAGACUGGUUUUCUCUAUUUCUUGAUGAAACAAACUAACAAGAUUCACCUCUUCCAUCUUUCUGUGUAUUCCAGCAGGAUCCAAAGCAAAUGCAGCACAUUCUGUCUUCAAGAUCGGACAUCAUCUUCCCCGGCUUCGCAUCACGCAGCACAUUUUCUUGACACACAUAAUGCAACUUAUUAACAUUGGACAAGGCUGCAUAACCGGUUGAGCUCAAAUCCGACACCUGCUGAAUUUAAACUGCGUCAACUUAUGAGCUCAUGAGCAUGCAAAUAUCACAACUCAAAAGCUCAGGAUGUCAGCAAGCUGAGAACAACAUAUAUAGGCAACUAAAAUACAAAAACCAGACAAUCAGUCACCAUAUAAAAUACACAUUUAGAAAAUUGUUGCCAAUUACAAAUUUACUGAGACCAUUUACAUUUCAAACAAAAAUGGAUAACCAAAUAUUUUGACCAAUUACAGCAGUGGCAGACUAGCAGCAAACGAGGAUGUUGUGUUCCUUGUAUAUGCCACUCCUCUCCCCACAAGCUACAUGCUUGCAACAAUUGUAAUUGCAGAGAGAUGGUAAUAAGAAAAACAUUGCCUUAGAUUCUCUCAUCCCUACUAUAAAUGUAAAAUCUUGUAUAAUACAUGUACAUAAUCAAUUCCAC